CGGCGUGCUUAACACAUGCAAGUCGAAACGAAGCACUUAUGACAGAUUCUUCGGAUGAUGGAUUAAGUGACUGAGUGGCGGACGGGUGAGUAACGCGUGGGUAACCUGCCUCAUACGAGGGGGAUAACAGUUAGAAAUGACUGCUAAUACCGCAUAAGCGCACAGGACCGCAUGGUCUGGUGUAGAAAAACUCCGGUGGUAUGAGAUGGACCCGCGUCUGAUUAGCUAGUUGGUGGGGUAACGGCCCACCAAGGCGACGAUCAGUAGCCGACCUGAGAGGGUGACCGGCCACAUUGGGACUGAGACACGGCCCAAACUCCUACGGGAGGCAGCAGUGGGGAAUAUUGCACAAUGGGCGAAAGCCUGAUGCAGCGACGCCGCGUGAGCGAAGAAGUAUUUCGGUAUGUAAAGCUCUAUCAGCAGGGAAGAAAAUGACGGUACCUGACUAAGAAGCACCGGCUAAAUACGUG
rnacentral:rRNA from 1 species